AUGGAUGCCCAGAACAAGGAGGUCGCCGCCCUGGUGGAGAAGAUCACCGGGCUCCACGCCGCCAUCGCCAAGCUGCCGUCGCUCAGCCCAUCCCCGGCCAUCGACGCGCUCUUCACCGAGCUGGUCACCGCGUGCGCCCCCCCGAGCCCCGUGGAUGUGACCAAGCUGGGCCCGGAGGCGCAGGAGAUGCGGGAGGGCCUCAUCCGCCUCUGCUCCGAGGCCGAGGGGAAGCUGGAGGCGCACUACUCCGACAUGCUCGCCGCCUUCGACAACCCGCUCGACCACCUCGGCGUCUUCCCCUACUACAGCAACUACGUCAACCUCAGCAAGCUCCGACGCGCCGGCAAGCUGUUUCGCGUGGACACGGACGUGGGCGCCCGCAUGUCGUUCCACACGGCCGAGGUGCUGGCCGUGUGCCACCCCGACGAUGACGUGGUGAACUCCGUCAUCAUCGCACAUAAGUCCAAGGACGUGGUGGGAAACUCCUCGCCCUCUGCACGCCCCGUCUUCCUCAACCGCUACAGGCGGCGGCGACCCAUCCUUUGCCCCCUACCUCCGCCAGCGAGAUCGCUGGUCCCUGCCUCCUCCGUCCGCCGUUACGGCGGCGGCAGGGGGUGGGGACCCCAGCGCUUCGCCAUUGGUGAGUAG
rnacentral:rRNA from 1 species